GUAGGUGGGCAAGCGUUGUCCGGAAUUAUUGGGCGUAAAGCGCGCGCAGGGCGGUCCUUUAAGUCUGAUGUGAAAGCCCACGGCUCAACAGUGGAGGGUCAUUGGAAACUGGGGGACUUGAGUACAGAAGAGGAAAGCGGAAUUCCAAGUGUAGCGGUGAAAUGCGUAGAGAUUUGGAGGAACACCAGUGGCGAAGGCGGCUUUCUGGUCUGUAACUGACGCUGAGGCGCGAAAGCGUGGGGAGCAAACAGGAUUAGAUACCCUGGUAGUCCACGCCGUAAACGAUGAGUGCUAAGUGUUAGGGGGUUUCCGCCCCUUAGUGCUGCAGCUAACGCAUUAAGCACUCCGCCUGGGGAGUACGGCCGCAAGGCUG
rnacentral:rRNA from 1 species